GAUUAACGCUGGCGGCAUGCCUAAUACAUGCAAGUCGAACGGAAGCAGCAAUGCUUUAGUGGCGAACGGGUGAGUAACACGUAGGGAACCUACCUAUACGACGAGGAUAACUACUGGAAACGGUAGCUAAAACUGGAUAGGAUUAACUGAGGCAUCUUGGUUAAUUUAAAGAUCCUUCGGGAUUACGUAGAGAUGGCCCUGCGGCGCAUUAGCUAGUUGGUGAGGUAACGGCCCACCAAGGCAACGAUGCGUAGCUGAGCUGAGAGGCUAAACAGCCACACUGGGACUGAGACACGGCCCAGACUCCUACGGGAGGCAG
rnacentral:rRNA from 1 species